CAGCAGAGAAUCAACUAAAACAAUUAAAAUAAAACUAAAAAUUAAACCAACAUCUCACAUGUGUCAGUCAGCAAGGAAACAGUGUUUUCUCUCCAUGAGUGUAAAUUUCAUCUGAUCACGAUUCUCUCUUCUGUUUUCUGUUGGAUUUUUCUUUAAACAGGAGGACAAAAUAAAAACACAACUGGAGAAUCUAAGCCAUGUACAUUUAACAAUUCUGACAAUUCCAACAAUUCUGACAACACAGGACGUACAAACAAUGAGGUACAAGAAGAACAAAUGUCUGAAGAUGAUACUUGGAAAUACCAUCAGAUUGGAGAUGAACUGUUGGUGGAACAUUACAGCGCAUUUAUCACUGACGAUGAAAAUACACGACUUACUACAUGGCUGGAAGGGAAGGAUCAAUCAAAUCAAUGGACCUUGUGUAACGACAUCAUCAAUGAACUAGAAACAAAAAUACAAACAAAAGUUUGGAAAAGGAAAAUGAAUGAGAACAAAAAGAUGGAUUUUCCAACAGGAGGACAAAAUGAGAACAUGACUGCAGCUGAAAAGCCUUUGAAAAGAAGGAAAAUACAACACUGACAAUUUUGACAACACAGAACAGAACACUGAAAAGACAAAGAAGACAUAAUGUGUAAAGAAGAUACUAUGAAGUAGAAUGACAUUGGAGACAAACUGUUCGUGGAAUAUUACAGCAAAUUCAUCACUGAGGAGGAAAAAGACAAACUUGAUGUUUGGUUGGAAAACAAAAAAGAUCAAAUUGACACAGAAUUGGGCGAAGAAAUCCUCCAUGAACUAAUCCCGAAACUAGAGCCUGGAGAACAGAACGAUGUCCUGACUUGAGCUGCACAGUUUAACAGAGAGCUCAAAUGAGAAUAUUUUAUUAGAAAAAGCCACUGCUACUCUGUGAUUGAAUGAUUAGCACACAUGCAGAAGACUUUUCAGGACAUAGUGAUUACUAUGGUUGAAUUAAACUGGCUGUAGCUCAGGUUGUAGAGCUGGUAACCUACUAACCAGAAGGUUGGUGGUGUGAUCCUAGUCUGCUCCAGUCUGCAUGCCAAAUAUCCUUGGGCAAGAUACUAACCCCAGGUUGCUCUCCGAUGCAUCCAUCGAAGUGUGAAUGUUGAAUGUGUGAAUGUAAGUUAGACAGCACUGAAAACUUAGAAAAGUGCUUGUGUGAAUGGGUAUGAUUGGUUGAGCGAGUUGUGAAAGCACUUUGAGUGCUUUGAGUGCAUGUAAGAACCCGUUGAUUUACCACUUAAACACACUGAUCAUAAUGAUGAAGAACAGGUUCAUGAGACGAGGUCACCCAGUCAUCAGAAACAUCAUCCACUCACACUGAAGUUUGUAAUCAGUGAGCAGACGUGUGUUACAGUCUAUAUUUGACUUCAUCAUCAGUCAGUUCAGUAGGACUGCCCUCUGUCUGUGUUACAUCACAUGAUUAAUGUAAUAUCAUGUUAUGUUGACUCUGUUGGAGCGAACAGUCUGAUAUCCUGCUAUUUAUGAUUUGAUCAUAUAUUAUUGAUAUAUUUUCUCUUUGUAAUGUCUGUGAAGGUUCUCAGUCAUCCAGGUCAUCGUAGUCAAAGGAGCUUGGAAAGAAAAG